rnacentral:rRNA from 1 species
GAUGAACGCUAGCGGCAGGCCUAACACAUGCAAGUCGAGGGGUAGAACACUUCGGUGUUUGAGACCGGCGCACGGGUGCGUAACGCGUAUGCAAUCUACCUUGUACAGGGGAAUAGCCAGAGAAAUUUGGAUUAAUGCCCCAUAGUAUAUAACCUUCGCAUGUUGGUUAUAUUAAAGUUCCAACGGUACAAGAUGAGCAUGCGUCCCAUUAGUUAGUUGGUAAGGUAACGGCUUACCAAGACGAUGAUGGGUAGGGGUCCUGAGAGGGAGAUCCCCCACACUGGUACUGAGACACGGACCAGACUCCGACGGGAGGCAGCAGUGAGGAAUAUUGGUCAAUGGGCGCAAGCCUGAACCAGCCAUGCCGCGUGCAGGAAGACGGUCCUAUGGAUUGUAAACUGCUUUUAUACAGGAAGAAACAACUCUACGUGUAGAGUCUUGACGGUACUGUAGGAAUAAGGAUCGGCCAACUCCGUGCCAGCCGCCGCAGUAACAC